UAUCUUGAAGAACACCUUUUAUAUCUAAUUGAUUAGUCUUAUAAUCAUAAUAUCUAUAAUAUUUGAUUUCAUCAAAACCAGCAUGUUUGAAUAUGUUAGGAUGAUUACUCCAAGUAGGUGAUGGCAUAUAUAUUGCUUUAUUUCCAGGAUAAAACUUUUGCUAAAAAAAUUUGUAUAAUACUUUUAAGAUGCACUAUUUUAAAAAUUACCAAAAAAGCUGCCCCUAAUCUUAAUGCACCUGUACCUGACAAAGUUUGAACUGUUGUGAUCUAUAUAAAUUACAAAUAAAACUAGAAUAAAUUACUUUAUCAUUCUUAAGAUAUGGGUUGUCUUCACCAAAUGCUAAUUUCGCAGAUAAUUUACAGAAAUUAGGUAUACCACUAAUUGUGGUAUACUCUUUAUCCAUAUUAUUAGCCAGCAUCAUUUUUUCGGCCUAAUUUUAUCACUUAUAUAUUUUCAUAAAAUGAAAUACUUUUUUAACAGUUUCCAAAACAUAUGGCUUCCCAUUAUCAUCCCUAUAUGUACCAGCACCUAAAUUAAUUUUUUGUGAAUUUGUAUCCUUUUUAUAUGCUUCAGUAAUUCCCAAAAUGGCAUCAGGCGGCCCCAUUUCAACAUUAUGCCACAAAGAACUAUAAAUUCUUAUUACAUAGGUUACUGUUUAUUUAUAUUACGUUUGUCGUAAAAUUUUCAUCGCCUUAUAAGCCAUAUGGUUUAUAUGGUUAAUAUAAUAAAUAUAUAAAAUAAGAUGACACCUUCAAUCACAUUUGAAAUCUGGGAAUCAUGAUCAAUUAAUAACAUGCAAUCAAUAAUAUGUUUCUAUCUGAAUAUAUAUAGUUUUUAUAUUUAUAACUUGCUAGUAACUGGCCAGGAAUUUUAAAUUUAUAGGCUAAAAAUUAUACCUAAAUAGGGGCAUAAUUUAUAUAUUUUUGAAGUAGGGAAGGAUUUAAUUGGGGAAUGGAAGGUUUCUCCCAUAGUUUCCAUAAUUUCUUAAUGAGAUUGUGUCAUAUGUAGAUCAAAAAAUCAUCCAUUUUAGAAUGUCAGCAGCUUAGUGAGUUGGAAACCUUGCUUGUGGUUCACAUGUUAUAAACAAGAAAGGAAAAGGCAAUAAAUAUUAUCCAUCAUUUUUUUAUAAUAUUUAUAUUAUAAUUAUAAUUGAAAAAAAUAAACAAAUAUUAUUUUAUUAUUAUUCCAAGUGGAAUUUAUUAAUGUAGAAUUUGAACAUAUGUUUUUUAAUUUUUCCCACCACAUCACAAAAUAAUUGAUUUGCAAAAACAAAAUUCUAAAGGGCUAUAUCAGGAACCAUGGUAUAGGAAAAGUGAUUAUCGAAAAUUAAAUGGAUUUUCAUAUCCACUUGAUCCUUGUCAGUUUGUUUUAUGCUUUUAUCUGGUUUUAAUUAUAGUAUUUUAUAUUGGUACAUUUUACCCUCUAAUUCCUAGAGAUAUCAAAUUUUUGCUUCAAACAUACACAAUUAUUAUCAUAAUAUCAUUUGUAAUAAUAAUAUGUACAAUAACAUCUUAUCCCACUAACCAUCCCUUGUUAAAAUAUAGACCAGCUAAAGAGGAAAUUAUAAUAUUAGAUGUUACCUUAUAUCCCCUGGUUAUUGAUAAUGACUAUUGUAAUAUAUGUAAUAUACAUGUUGAUCUAGGCACUAAACACUGUAGAAUAUGUAACAAAUGUGUACCAAAAUGGGAUCAUCAUUGCUAUUACAUUAAUAAUUGUGUGGCCAGAGAUCAAAAUUUUUUCCUUUAUUUAAUCUUGUUAAUUAUCACAAUUAUGAUGUCUGUAACACUUAUGGCAUAUGGCAUUUAUCUUUUAGUCAUUUUUUAUAAAUUAAGCCUUGAUGAAAGGAAAGAAUAUGCAAUUAUUUUUGUUCAAGUGGACAAUUAUAUGUACAUUAUAUAUGUAAAUGUGAUCAUAUUUAUUAAUUUUUGCAUCCUACUGAA